GUACACGCUGUGACUAGCAUAUCAAUAAGCGGAGGAAAAGAAACUAGCAAGGAUUCCCUUAGUAACGGCGAGUGAAGCGGGAAGAGCUCAAAUUUGAAAUCUUCAAGGUUUUACCUUGACGAAUUGUAGUUUAAAGAAGUGUUUUCUGCUGAAGUUUUGGUAAAAGUUCUUUGGAAUAGGACAUCAUAGAGGGUGAGAAUCCCGUAUUUGACCAUUAUUUUCAGCUUUGUGAUACACUUUCAAAGAGUCGGAUUGUUUGGGAAUGCAGUCCAAAAUGGGUGGUAAAUUUCAUCUAAAGCUAAAUAUUGGCGAGAGACCGAUAGCGAACAAGUACCGUGAGGGAAAGAUGAAAAGAACUUUGAAAAGAGAGUUAAACAGUACGUGAAAUUGUCAAAAGGGAAGCGUUUGACACCAGUGUUGUUUUCUCGAAAAUCAAUUAAAAAAUGGUUGGAUUUUGUAUUGUAUUGAGACCUUAACAGCUUCACUGUCACAUCUUUUCGCUGUCUUUUUUAAUGCACUUUUCGUUUAACAAGUCAACAUCAGUUUCUUUUGUUGUAAAAGGGUCAUUGGAAGGUGGCUUUCUUUUCGGAGAAAGUGUUUAUAGCCUUUGGCCUCUGCAAUCGAAGAGACUGAGGUCUGCAGCGUAGACUCUUCGGGGUUAGAUACAUUUGUGCUAAGUUAUAGCUUUUUCAUAGACAACUUGUUGACUACUAAUUAGUCAUGUAGCUUACUCGCUUAUGCUAUUUUACCUACGCUUAGGAUGUUGAACUACUGAGACAUAGA
rnacentral:rRNA from 1 species